UUCUCUUCCACUGAGCAAUAUUUAAGAGAACUGUAAAGUUGAGAGUCCAGAGAGUGCCUAAUUGAUUGGAAAAUGAAGAUGCUAAUUUUAAAGAAAGUAUUAGUGAUCUUCUCUGUAUAUACUCCCUCUCUCUUUCAAUAGAUCUUGUAUGUGCAGUUUGUGUUAGGAACUGGCAAUCAUGUCGGAGGAGAAAAUAACAUUCCAACGAGACUUCAAGAAUAUGCAUA
rnacentral:misc_RNA from 1 species